rnacentral:lncRNA from 1 species
AUGCUAGGUCGUGAAACCAAGACUGAGAAUGGAGGGCAGACUGCAGAGCUGAGCAUUUCGAAGGGACCAGAGUCUCACAAGUUGAUAACGGAGGUGCUGCUGGUGGAUGUUCCCAGGCAUCCUUUCUUUGAGAACAGCUUAGAGAAGCUGCAGCUGUUUGACCCAGGGAAUAAAAAACACUCAAAGAAUGGCAAUUUCACAGAUUUGCCAGUCCAGGAUCAUCCAUCCUCCACUGUUGAAAGAGAAGAGAUAGCCAGACAAUUGCAAGGAAGCUGUGGUAUCUGCAUGCAUCUCAUUACUAAGCAGGGCCUCCCUAGAGAACAGGUAUUUUAUAAUUGUGGUGAGUGUGGCAGAUAUUUCAACCAACAUUCAGACCUUCACCAGCAUCAGAGAAUUCACAUGGACAAGAAGCCCUACAAAUGCAAAGAAUGUGGCAAAGCCUUCAGGUAUAACUCAAAACUGUCACGGCACCAGAAGAUCCACACUGGGGAGAAACCGUACCCUUGCCAGGAAUGUGGACAAGCCUUCAGUCGAAACUUGCACCUCCUUCAGCAUCAGAAACUCCACGGGGGAGAGAAGCCCUACGAAUGUAAGGACUGUGGGAAAACCUUCAGCUACAACUCAAAACUUAUCCGGCAUCAGCGAAUCCACACUGGGGAGAAACCCUUUAAGUGUAAGGAAUGUGGGAAGGCUUUUGGGUGUAACUAUGACCGCGUCAUCCAUGAGCGAAUUCACACUGGGGAGAAGCCAUACGAAUGUAAGGAGUGUGGGAAAAGCUUCAGUUCAAAUUCAGUCCUGAUUCAGCAUCAGAGGAUCCACACCGGGGAGAAACCUUACAAAUGUAAGGAGUGCAGCAAGGCUUCCCACCGAAGUUCGCUGUUUCUCCAGCACCAGAGGUUCCACACUGGGGAAAAGCUCUAUAAAUUUAACGAAUGUUGGAAAACUUUCAGUUGUAGCUCACGCUUUAUAGUACAUCAGAGAAUCCACACUGGGGAGAAACCUUAUGAAUGCCAGGAGUGUGGGAAGGCGUUUAGUCAGAAAAUCACCCUGGUUCAGCGCCAGCGAGUUCACACUGGGGAGAAACCUUAUGAGUGUAAAGUGUGUGGGAAAUCCUUCAGAUGGAGCACAAGUUUCAUUCACCAUCAGAAACUGCACACCAGGAAGAAACCUGACCAAGUUACAAGGCCAUCCCCGGUGAAGCCCUGCCGCCCCACUUCAGUCCUAUCCCCUGUCUCCCCAACAUGCACCACCUGCCCCAGCCACGCCAGGGGCUCCCCUGUCUUGUCCACGGGCACCGCUGCUUCCUCCUUCUGUGCCUCUCUUCCUGUUGCUCUUGUUAACUUGUUAACAAGAUGUUACUUAAUACUCGUUAACCUUUCUCCUGCUUCAUUUUUUUACUCGAAGGCCAAACUUGCCUGCUACUCCAUUUAUCUCUUGACUUCUGAUUUUUGUAUUCCAGUCCCCUAUGAUGAAAAGGAUGUCUUUUUUUGGUGUUAG